rnacentral:rRNA from 1 species
UACGAAGGGUGCAAGCGUUAAUCGGAAUUACUGGGCGUAAAGCGUGCGUAGGCGGUUGUUUAAGUCUGCUGUGAAAUCCCCGGGCUCAACCUGGGAAUGGCAGUGGAUACUGGACAGCUAGAGUGUGUCAGAGGAUGGUGGAAUUCCCGGUGUAGCGGUGAAAUGCGUAGAGAUCGGGAGGAACAUCAGUGGCGAAGGCGGCCAUCUGGGACAACACUGACGCUGAGGAGCGAAAGCAUGGGGAGCGAACAGG